CCUGUCCUUUUGUUUCAGUAUACUCUAUUUAUCUCUUUUGAAUCAGUAUUCUCACCCAUUGGCAAUUCCCGUUUUUCUAAAUUUUGCUUUCAGGAGCCAGGGCGCUUGCCCCUUUCUUGCUACAUAGAUAUGCUCAGAAUUACUGUAUGGCCGGCCCUCUCAAGGCCGCUCUCAUGCUGAUUAAGUAUCUGGUAGUUUAGGACUAUAGCAAUGUGACCUGUACAUCACUGUCAGAUCAAGAGCCAGUCUAUACUGUGGUACGUCAAUGAUAGAGUGCCAGAGAGGACCGACAUUAUUCACAUUAAAACUAAUUUGUUACUAAUUUUUAUGUUAAGAAGCUCAAAAGUAUACUGUACAUGUACAAUGUACAUGUAUAACAAGUCUUGCUCGUUCAUGCCCAUCAGUUAUGAAGAGAAUAUUUCAUUUAUCAAGUACACUAUCAGCAAGUCAGUCAAACAAUUACCAGUUUUUUCAAGCCAUUUCAAACCUGAAGCUAUUUGGACUUUAUACUAUGAGACUAGAUAAUCUCAAAUAGUGGGAUUGUUGCCACUGCUGAAGGUUACUAUUGUAAUACAGAGGUAGGUAAGUACCAAGAUCCCCCACUUCAGCUGGACCAACCAACUGGUGGAGUAUCUUCCUUAUAAUUCUCUGAUUGAAAUUUAUAUGAUAAAAGUGAGGUUGCUGAGUCUUGUUUAAUGAAAUAUUUGAAUAAUUACAUGUACAUCUAUGAAUAGAACACUUCAUUUAUUACUUAUGCCAUCAUGCAGUCACACAAUUACCAGUUGCAUGAGAUGUCGUCUGAUAAACAAGUACAUCUACAUGUGUAUGCAUGUCCUUCAGUGGACUUACAUGUGUAUUUUUUGAUUUUUUUUCUCAAGCCAUUUGCUAUUUUGACUAAGAUCUAAGAAUCAGUGUGACGUGACUGAUGUACUUCUGCUUCUCAUCCCUGAAAAUAUUUAAAAUUUCUAUGACUGAAAAUGUAUGUACAUGUAAAUGUACUGUACUUUAUGACUGAAAAUUUAUUACUUUUUUGUAAGUUUUAAAAAUUAUAUUAUAUUUAAUAUGUGUUGUUACAAAUACACAUCCAAAAACAGUUAA
rnacentral:lncRNA from 1 species